rnacentral:lncRNA from 1 species
AAUGGAAUAAUGUCCAAAUAUAUCUAAUUAGAUUUACAAAUACUAUUUAGAUGGAAUAUUACACUCCAAUGAGCUAAAACACUUCAAAACGAGUGUUUGGAGUGACCCAAGUGACAUCUACGGACUUGUAAUGAAGCGAGGGACUUGGGAUUUGAGUUUACUCCUCAAGAGUAAACUCCCUAAUAGAGUUUGCAGCCAUAUAUCCCCUACAUACAUGAGUUCACGGUCGUGAACUCAUGUUUGGGUGAUUUUGAGUGUUAAAUGGCUUAUAUGGACAUGGGAAAUGCUAGAAUGGAUUUUUUCUAAUGCCUUGGAUUAAAUUGUAUGAACAUAUACAUCACAUAUGGGAGUUCGCGGCUGUAAACUUGCAGUUUACGGCCGUAAACUCCCCCAAGCUCAAACCAAUUUAUUUUGUGAUGCUUAGGACAAUCAUAUGUGGUUCUAACUAAUUUUCCAAGCCUUGGUAUGAAUUUAGGGUACCAUUUGACAUGCAUAAAGAAGUUUACGGCCCAUGAACAUGUUAUUGGGGUGCCUUGGCCGUAAACACCUAAUUGGAGGGUGUUUGACAUGUUUAAGGUCCCCAAACUAUUUUUAGAUGAUUCUAGAAUUUAUUCCAAGGCUUUUGGUGGUGUUGGAUGGCUUUGUUUACUCCCCAAGAAUGAGGAGUUUACGGCCCAAGCACAAUCCUUGGCCGUAAACUCAUGUUUGUCCCUCAAAAUCCAUGUCUAGGGUGUUCUAAGUCCGGGUUUGCAAGCCUUAAGGUCAUAUCUAAGUCCCAAUGUUGGUUUGGAAGGGUUAAAUUGCUCAAAAACCCAUGUUUUUAUGUGUUUACGGCCCAAGCAUGCUCCUUGGCCGUAAACANAACACAUGUUCAGGUUGUUACAUUAUCCCCCCGUUAGAGGGAAUUUCGUCCCGAAAUUCAAAAUUAAGAUACAAUUCAAGAUACAAAUCAUGGAUCUGAAAAGAGAUGUGGAUACUGUUGUUUCAUCGAGUCUUCACCCUCCCAAGUGAACUCCGGUCCCCGCUUGGCAUUUCAGCGAACCUUCACUAAUGGGUUGCGGCUUUGCUUUGUACGUUUGAUUUCUCGAUCCAUGAUUUCGAUAGGUUCCUCCAUGAAGUUGAGGUUUUCAUUGAUCUCGAUCUCGUCUAAAGGAAUCACUAGGGUUUCAUCGGAUAAGCACUUCUUGACAUUUGAAACAUGGAAGACGGGAUGGAUGUUACAGAGCUCCUAGGGUAAACGAAGUNGGCUACCGGACCGAUCCUGGCGAGGAUCUCGAAGGGUCCAAUGUAGCUCAGGUUAAGUUUCCCACGCUUUCUGAAACGUACCGUGCCUUUCCAGGGCGAGACUUUCAAUAGGACACGGUCUCCAACCUGGAAUUCCAGAGGUUUCCGACGGAUAUCAGCGUAACUCUUUUGGCGAUCUCAUGAAGCUUUCAAUCGUUCCUGGAUUUGGAUGAUCUUCUCAGUGGUUUCGCGGAUGAUUUCAGGACCGGUGAGAGUACUGUCGGGGACUCGACUCUUGCCUAGUUGUGUGUCCCCCAACUCGGCCCAGCACAGAGGGGAUCUGCACUUACGACCGUAUAGGGCUUCAAACGGGGCAGCCUUGAUGCUAGUGUGAUAACUAUUGUUGUACGAGAACUCGAUCAAAGGUAGAUGUGUGUCCCACGACUUUCCAAAAUCAAUGACACAUGCCCUAAGCAUGUCCUCCAGGGUUUGGAUUGUUCUCUCACUUUAUCCGUCAGUCUGAGGAUGAUACGUCGUGCUCAUGUCUAGUUUGGUUCCAAGAGUCUUCGGAUGAGACUGCCAGAAUCUGGAGGUAAACCUGCUAUCUCGAUCAGAGAUAAUGGAUGCAGGUACACCGUGCAGCCGAACUACCUCUUGGAUGUAAAUUCGCGCGAGUCUUUCCAUCUUGUAUGACUCUUUGAUCGAAACGAAGUGAGCGGACUUUGUCAAAAAAUCGACAAUUACCCAAAUGGUGUCGUACCCACUCGGACACUUGGGUAGUUUGGUGAUGAAAUCCAUGGUAAUCAUCUCCCAUUUCCAUUCGGGUAUCUCGGGCUGCUGGAGCAGACCCGAGGGUUUCUGGUGCUCAACUUUAACCUUGACGCAAGUCAGACACUUGCCCACGAACGUAGCUAUCUAAGCUUUCAUGUUUGGCCACCAAUAUUGUUUCUUGAGAUCCCGGUACAUCUUGUCCGAACCCGGGUGAACAGAGUAUCUGGUCUUGUGUGCUUCCUCCAUGACAAUCUCCCUGAAUCCUCCGGACUUUGGAAUCCAGAUUCGAUUCAUGAAGCAGUAGACUCCGUCACCUCUGAUCUCAAGUUUCUUUUCCAUUCCUCUCAAGGCCUCGUUUGAUAUGUUCUCGGGUUUGAGGGCUUCUAACUGGGCUUCUUGGAUUUGCAUGGAUAAGUUGGAAUGGAUGGUCAUCGACAGGGUCUUCACCUUUCGGCUCGAACUCUCCUUUCGGCUAAGGGCAUCUGCUACCACAUUGGCCUUGCCAGGAUGGUAACGGAUUUCACACUCAUAAUCGUUGAGUAGUUCUACCCAUCGCCGUUGCCUCAUGUUCAAGUCUUUCUAAUCAAAGAUGUGUUGCAGGAUCUUAUGGUCAGUGAAGAUCGUACACUUGGUUCCGUAGAGGUAAUGUCUCCAAAUCUUUAGUGCAAAGACUACGGCUCCUAACUCCAAGUCAUGUGUGGUAUAGUUGACCUCGUGUGCCUUCAGCUGUCUUGAGGCAUAUGCAAUCACUUUUCCCCUUUGCAUAAGCACACAACCUAAGCCUUGAUUAGACGCAUCACAGAAAACAACGAAGUCUUCUGUUCCUUCAGGCAAGGACAGGACCGGUGCGCUGCACAAGGCUUUCUUCAGUGUCUGGAAUGCGGUUUCUUGCUUUUCACUCCAACAAAAGGGUACACUUUUCUGUGUCAGAGUGGUAAGGGUUUGGCGAUUUUGGAAAAGUUCUGGAUAAAUCUCCGAUAAUAGCCGGCGAGACCCAAGAAUUGUCGGAUUUCUGUGGGUGUCUUCGGCGUUGACCAAUUCUCUAUCUCUUUAAUCUUGGAAGGAUCUACAUGAAUACCCUCCUCGCUUACCACGUGACCGAGGAAAUUUACCUUCCGAAUCCAUAACUCACACUUGGAAAAUUUCGCGUACAACUUCUCGAAUCUAAGGGUUUCCAACACUAGCCUCAAGUGUUGUUUGUGAUCUUCUUCGCUUCGGGAAUAGACAAGUAUUUCAUCAAUGAAUACAAUGACGAACUUAUCCAGAUAAGGACAACACACCCGGUUCAUUAGGUCCAUGAACACUGUCGGUGCGUUGGUUAGACCGAAGGGCAUCACUACGAAUUCGUAGUGUCCAUAUCGAGUUCUGAAUGUUGUUUUGGACACAUCACUCUCAUGAACUCGUAGCUGAUGGUACCCUGACCGAAGGUCUAUCUUGGAGAAGUGAUUGGCUCCCUGGAGUUGAUCGAAGAGGUCAUCUAUUCGCAGAAGAGGAUAUCGGUUUUUGACGGUCAACUUGUUUAGCUCGCGAUAGUCGAUACACAUCCGGAAGGAUCCAUCUUUCUUCUUGACAAACAAUAACGAAGCUCCCCAGGGUGAGGAACUCGGUCUAAUGAAUCCUUUACUGAGCAACUCAUUGAGUUGACUGGAUAACUCCUGCUUUUCUGCUGGAGCUAAACGAUAUGGAGAUUUCGCUACGGGAGUAGCUCUAGGAAUUAGGUCAAUACGGAACUCAACCUGACGCUUGGGAGGAAUUCCUGGAAGCUCUUCGGGAAAUACAUCAGGAAUUUUACAGACUUCGGGGAUGCUCGCGAGGUCUUUAACUUCCUGUUUCUCGUUGAUUACAUGGGCUAAGAAUGCAAUGCACUCCUUUCGCAGGAGCUUUUGAGCUUUGAUGCAGGAAAUGAUACGAAGAUUGGAACUGAGUUUAUCACCAUAGAUUACGAGAGUUUGAUCCGGAGGAAGGUUGAGACAGAUGGCUUUUUCGAAACAGAGGAUAUCAGCAUGAUUGGGACUCAACCAAUCCAUGCCAAUGAUGACAUCAAAUCUCUUUAUGGAAACUGGCAUCAGAUCAAUAGGAAGUGAAUGGUCAUUCAGGGUAAGGGUACAACCUACGAAUAUCUCGUUAGCGCUUUCUUUCUCACUGUUAGCCAUCUCGACGGUAAACGUUUCAGUUAAAGGUUGGGGGUUAUGUUUUAGGUUAUGUUUGAACGAAUGGCUAACAAAACUUAUUUCAGCACCCGAAUCGAAAAGAAUACUAGCAUAUGAGUUGUCGAGAAGGAACGUACCCGAGACUACAGUGAGAUCGGCGAUUGCUUCCUCCCGUCCUAUGGCUAGGACUCUCCUGGUAUUAUCAGCUGUUGACUUCUUGGGGCAGUUCCUUUUAAAGUGCCCAACUUCUCCACAGUUAUAUCAGGCUUGACCAACGCCUGCUCCAGAUGAUUGAUUGGCCGAUUGGGCCGGAGCUUUAUAGAAUCAGACCGUGUGCCCCUUCUUACCACAAUUGGUGCAGGAUAGUUCUCGGCAGGGGUCGGGUUGUGAUGAUAUUUGAACUUGUCACACAGAGGAAGAUUACCAGCAUAUCUGCUACUAGGAGUUGGAGCUUGGAUCCCACAACAGAAGCAGCAGCAACGGGGGUAGUAGCAGCAUGGAAUGCUACAGUCUGUUGUCUCUUGGAGGAUCCUUGGGAAGAUUGACCCUUCUUCUUCUUCUAGAACUUUCUCUUCUCACCACUCCUUUUAGUCGGCUCAGAAGUGGUGGUGGUUUCCUCGAUGUCAUCACUGUGAUCAAUUAGGGGUUGGGAUAAAGUCUUGGCACUGUCAUAGGUAUCCGGAUGUGCAGCUAAAACAUUUCCCUUUGUUGGCUGGGUCAGCCCCCAGAUGAACUUUUCUAUCUUUUUACUUUCAGGAGUGACCAAUCCCGGGUAGAGAAGUGCAAGGUCAUCGAAUCGAGAAGUGUAUGCAGCAAUAUCGGAACCCUUCAUCUUUAGGUUCCAGAGCUCAUGCUCUAGUUUCUGCAUUUCACCAUAGGGACAGUAUUCGGCUAUUAGGAGUUCUUUUAUGGCUUCCCAGCCCAUGGCGUUGGCUACGGGUAGGUUCAGAGAUUUGACUCGGCCAUUCCACCAAGUUAAGGCUUUAUCAAUGAAGGUACAAGCUGCAAACUUGACCUUAUCAGAUUCUGCAUAGGCACAGAUUUAAAAGAUGGAUUCGAUUUUCUCGAACCAUCGGGUAAGGAAAUGACACCUCCAGUGCCAUCGAAGGAUGUUGGUUUUGCAUUCAUGAAGUCCUUAUAGGAACCCUCCUUUUGGUGUCCCUGAUUGUUUUCUUGAUACUGAGUUUGAGUACCACCUCCCGAACCACCGGAACCACCGAUGUUCAAUUGAGACAUAGCAGCUGCCACCGCGGCGGUAACAGCUCCCUGAAAUACCAUGGGGUCAAAUUCAGGAGGAGGUGGUGGCGGAGGGUUGUUGGUCUUUGAGCUGGGUCUCUUUCUGGGAGGCAUCUUGAUCUAAUAAGAUCAAGAAAGAGAGAGGAUGGUAAGUCCUCUGAAUCGAAUCAAGGGAUAUCACAGAUAUAUAAUAUUUCGAAUAAGCGAUAAAGCAGGAAGGAGUUAUCGAAGAAGAUAAAUUAUCGUUAAAAGAAUGAUCAACGAACAAUGAAUAAAUGAGGAUUUCUACAAAGGAUUGGCUCGAUAAAUACUCCCAUAGUAUUUCAUGAUCCGCUACGACACUGGCUCGAUGUUUGUGGUAUUAGGCUAAGUUUUAGGCAUGUCGUAUACCACAGUCACUCACAAGCACAUGUUGGUCGUGUCUCGAAUGAAUAUAGUUGGCCAGGCUAUAUUGAUCCUAGACACGACUACAUAACUGCCUAGGUUUAACCGCAGUACACAACACCCAUCUACUUAUGUUUUGUUCUACUUGUAGUUACGGAUCUCGACGGUUCGGUAUACUUGUAUACUUUUGAAAAUACUUAUAGUUUGAAGAUACUUUUAAUUCAGAGCACUUAGGCCCUUUAGUGUUUAUAGUUUUAUACCAUGUAAGGUUUGGUAUACUUUAUUCACUAUAAACAAGGGCUCUGAUACCAAUCUGUCACACCCCGAAAACCGAAGGCGGAAACAUUUCCGGGGUUGACUCCACGUUGAGUAUCAAAUCCAAUGUACAUAGUAAGUAAAGUAAAACAACCAUUACAUUACAUAUAGAAAAGUUUACAUUUGUUUCAAAAGUAAGUUGUACAGUUGUGAUACAUAGUAUAUAUAUAAACAAAACAAAACAAGUCUUCUGCACACUCCAUCUUUGGAUAAAAGGAUCUUCGGGUACCUGUUCUAACGCUGACCUGAGAACACAAGCGGUUUGAAAAUCAGCAUAACGCUGGUGAGUUCAUAAGCGGUUUUGUUUUGUGAAAAUGUUCAAGUUUCCUUUCUGUUUCUGAAAAUGUUACACACACCAAGAAAAUCCCAUAUUUUCUUAAAAAGUUUGGUUAUUGUUUCUCAAAAUGUAAAGAAAAGUUGUACACUGAAAAACACGUUUACCCAUGUGAAAAUGUACAGUUAGGUUAUCUGGUUUGUUAUACUGUUCUGGUUAUGUACCAAUGAACUCCCAGGAAAGUCCCAUACUUUCCUGAUUAUGUAUUACCAAUUGUGAAAGAUGUAAGGUUAUCCGGUUUGUUACACUUUUCUUGUUAUGUAAAUGUUUCCCAGGAAAGCCCCAUGCUUUCCUGAAUGUUGGUUUCCAAUGUGAAAGAUGUAUUCUGUUAGACCUGGUUAUGUACAAGGUUUCCCAGGAAAGUCCCAUACUUUCCUGAAUGUUGGUUUCCAAUGUAAAAGAUGUAUACCGAAACCUGGUUAUCUUGUGAAGUGUGUUAAGUUAUUCAUUAUUACUAUUGAGUAAAUCUCUGUUAUCCUAAUUGCGAGUUCCAUAACCAUACGAUAGACUAACUGUGGCAAUAAGAAGUCCACAUCACCUUAUGACUUUCGUCACCCUUGAACCAUUUCGGUUAGGCUGUAGCUAGCAGCCAGGUGUGGGGUAGUCAGCCCCGUAUUGAUCUAUACACUCAAGUCACGCUCCCUAUCCUAGAGAUUCUGGUUACGGGUGCAGUCCUCCACUCGCGUGUCUCUGUGGAGUGUUCGCCGAGGACGUGUCUCCAAUCAUACAGGACUAACAAUUUACUAGUAAGUUCAAAUGUUCUAAUGUCAUGCUUUUAACUGAUAAAAUGUGGAAAACCAUUUGUGAAAUAUAUAAAAAAAUAACAGUUUAAAAAUCCAUUUCACAAAUAUAUGAUUACGUGAUCUACAUGUUCAAACGGUUAUCAAUUAUAACAAUCAAUGUUAAAAGCAUAUAAAAUAUGAAACACACACAUGAAAUCAAGUUUUGAGUACAAGUAAUCCCUUGUACUUUGCUUGUGUUCCCCCCUGAAAAUAGUGAAAAGCAGUGAAAAGGGUAGGGGUAUGAACUCACUAGACGAGGAAAUGCGACUGUUUCGAGUACUAAACAUUGGUUCGGGGCUUGAUUACUCGUGAUGUUCCUAUGUAACAUGGAAUAAUGUCCAAAUAUAUCUAAUUAGAUUUACAAAUACUGAUUAUAUGGAAUAUUACACUCCAAUGAGCUAAAACACUUCAAAACGAGUGUUUGGAGUGACCCGGGUGACAUCUACGGACUUGUAAUGAAUCGAGGGACUUGGGAUUUGAGUUUACUCCUCAAGAGUAAACUCCCUAAUGGAUUUUGCGGCCAUAUAUCUCCUACAUACAUGAGUUCACGGCCGUGAACUCAUGUUUGGGUGAUUUUGAGUGUGAAAUGGCUUAUAUGGACAUGGGAAAUGCUAGAAUGGAUUUUUCUAAUGCCUUGGAUUAAAUUGUAUGAACAUAUACAUCACAUAUGGGAGUUCACGGCUGUAAACUUGGAGUUUACGGCCGUAAACUCCCCCAAGCUCAAACCAAUUUAUUUUGUAAUGCUUAGGACAAUCAUAUGUGGUUCUAACUAAUUUUCCAAGCCUUAGUAUGAAUUUAGGGUACCAUUUGACAUGCAUAAAGGAGUUUACGGCCCAUGAACAUUUUCUUGGGGUGCCUUGGCCGUAAACACCUAAUUGGAGGGUGUUUGACAUGUUUACGGUCCCCAAACUAUUUUUAGAUGAUUCUAGAAUUUAUUCCAAGACUUUUGGUGGUGUUGGAUGGCUUUGUUUACUCCCCAUGAAUGAGGAGUUUACGGCCCAAGCACAAUCCUUGGCCGUAAACUCAUGUUUUUCCCUCAAAAUCCAUGUCUAGGGUGUUCUAAGUCUAGGUUUGCAAGUCUUAAGGUCAUAUCUAAGUCCCAAUGUUGGUUUGGAAGGGUUAAAUUGCUCAAAAACCCAUGUUUUUAUGUGUUUACGGCCCAAGCAUGCUCCUUGGCCAUAAACACAUGUUCCAGG